CCAUAUCCAUGUUGUAUAGCAUCUUAGGAAACCAUCACAGAUAAGAUGUUCUCUAAUUUGGGUUGCGUUCAACUUUCUCCCAUUCAAACAAUUCACACAAGGACAUCUAAAUGUCACUUCAUCAUCACUUCUCCCCUCAUUACGUUGCGUAAAUUGUAUAAAUUCCUCUACAUCUCUCUCGUACUCAGCACUAAUGCGUUGUAAAUUAAUCCAAUUUCAAUCCAU
rnacentral:lncRNA from 1 species